AAAAAACUUUUAGAAAAAGAGAUAUUAGAAGGGGUUAGAAGGGGUUAGCUGAAGAAAAGAAAAAGUAAGGAAAUAUUUUGGGCAAAUAGGAUCAAGGGUUAUAAAUUAUAACUCGGAUUCAGGGAUUCAGUAAGUUUUCCUAUCAUAAUCAGUUAACAAGUGACGGAAAGGAAAGAAUCCAACUGAUGAAGCAACUGAUCCCGAUGCUGGAUAGAUUCAGCCUAUUGGAAAGGAAAUGAAAUCACUUCAUUUCAGGAGUUCUUCGGAACAUUUUAGUGGUCUAACUGCUAAACUUAAUUCGAAGUAGAGGAAUAGAGUCCGAGGGAUGGGAUUCGAACAACUGUUGCAUUUCUCAUUAACCAACAUUUUUGUUUUACAAUGUCAGUUACUAUCAAUGCAAUUUUUAACUUUUUGUGCUGCAA